rnacentral:snRNA from 1 species
UCGAUACAGAGAAGAUUAGCAUGGUCUCGAUGCAAGGAUGACACAUAAAUUCAUAAAGCGUUCCAUAUUUUU